rnacentral:lncRNA from 1 species
AUAAGAGCAUUACAUAUCGCUUGAUCACCAAGAUUUUGACUUUAUUGAAACAAAUAUUAAAUCCUACAAAAUAAAAUAAAACAUAUUAAUUUAAUAAACUAAUAUAAUUAAAAGGACAAAAUUAGGGAUAAUAAAAUAUAUGAAUUACUUGUCUAUCAAGUUGCUUUAUAACUAUUGUUUUGUUGAUGAAGUUUUCAAAGAAUACUGAAUUAAUUUUGAUUUUGUUGUUUAUUCAACUGCUAUAACUUGUUGGACAAUUAAAUGUUCACUCUUGCAAAACUCUAAAACUUUUGCAGCUAGAGCGGAUGAACUUAAAUAGUCAGAUGGUAUUAAGCAGAAGGAAUUGUUAAAGCUUAGAGGAUUACAUAUUGUGAUGUAAUAGCUAGUUGUAAUUAUAAUAUUUGAAUGAUGUAAUAUUCGUUAAUAUAAUAAUUUAAAGAUGUAAAGGUCUUCGAACCUGGGAUUAGCAUUGAUUUGAUGUAAUAAUGUAUUAAUUAUAUUCAUGUCUUAAAAAUAUACCAAAUGAAUAGUACCGUGAGGCACUAGACCCGAACUUGAAGAUAGACCCGAAAUAUGGGAGAUUUACAAUAUAUCUAAGAGAUAAAAAUAAAUUUUCAUGCAAUAUAUUACAUUACUUUUUUUAUAUAUAAAAAUAUAAAUAAAAUUGCAUCCAUAAUAUAUACUUUUAUCGAGAGUAAUUAAUCAUCAGCAGAUUAUUAUAUUCUCAAGUCAUAAUAUAUACUUUCAUUUUCUAUAUAAUUCAUGGGAAAGUUAUGUAUUUAUCUUUAGUUAUUAUCCAUCAAACUAUUUUCUCUGAUUAGACUACUGUACAUCUUAUUUUUUCUUCCUGAUCAGCAAAAAAGAAUAAAUUUAUUGAUGAUUGAAAACAAACUACAAAUUGAUAAUCCAAAGGAUUUGUAUUAUAUAAUAACAUCUAAGAUAAUACAUAACUGAAAUCCAAAACAGCAAAAAUUGAUUAUUAGACAGACUUGAACACCAUGAGCUUUCUGAGCAUGCAUAUAUAUCAUAAAAAUCAACUCAAUCGCAUUUGUUGCAGAUACAAGAUACAGAACACCUCAACAUCUUCCAACUCUUCGAAACUACACAUGGUUGCUAAAACUCAUCCUGCCAUAAACCUACAACUGUAACACAUUACAGAUCAUCCAUCAAGAGCCAUGCAUUUGGGUUAAAACACCACAUAUGAGAAUUAUUACUCCUUCCAUUGCUGUGUGACGCCAACCAUUGCAAGGAUCGGUGUUGAAUCUGCCCCCACCACAUCUUUCCAACAUGAUUCAAUUUUUAAAAACCACCAAGAUCCUUGCCUCCCAUAAAUGCCACUACAGUACUCCACCAUUUUCUUAAAUAAUUAAUAUUGGUGGUUGCUAAGACCAGCCACAUACAAGUUUCUCAUUCUCGAUCUGUGACGCCCCCAAAUUCGGGUUAUCUUCAACUCAGGUUUGGUGCUCACGAUACUAACAUACUCAUUCGUACUAUCAUAAACCUGUCUUAUAUUACAUAAAUAUCGUACUUAAAUCCCAGGUUCUAUAUGUAAGACCCCAACUUAUUAUAAGUAAAAUUGAAUUUUUCUCUAUUCAUUAUUCUAAAUUAAUAAGGUGUUAAUUUGAUAUAAUGCUUUAGUUAUGGGUGGAAUAUGCAAAAUUUUCAAAAUAAGCAAGUGGUUAUAAAAUAUUUAUUCUGUCGGGGAAUAUUCGUUUGGUCGUGGAAUAUUCUUUUUGUCGGGAAUAUCCGUAUGACGGCGCAGUCAAUUGUGGGCUCCAUAACAGAAUAACUGUCGGAUGAAGAAAACGAUAAAUUAUGAGUUUUUAUAAAUAACGACGUAAUUGUUACCGUUAACACUGUUGGAAUACCCGGUGGUUAAAAUACAGUAAUACGCGUGGUUGCACAGUAGCACGCGGUAUUGCACAGUAUUGUUGAAUUAUUGAUUCGUACGUAAGAAGGCACUACUCAAUAAUUGUUACAGUAAUUACUUGUAAGACCCCAAUUUUUCUUUUUAAUAAAGAUGAUUUUUCUAUAAAUAUAAUUUUUGAAUAUUAUGGAAUGAAUUUGAUAUAAUGUUAUAGUUGUGGGUAAUAUUUAUAAAUUUUGCUAAGUAUGCAAGUUGUUAUAAAAUAUUCGAUUGGUCAAGAAAUAUUCUUUUUGUCGGGAAUAUUCGUACAAUGGCACAAUCAUUGGUGGACCCCACAAUGGAAUUAUUGUCGGAUUGAGAAAAUGACAAAAAUAUUUUAUAAAUAACGGCGGAGGUGUUAUUGUUAAAACUGUUGAACUACCCGGUAGUAAAAGUACAGUAAUACGCGUGGUUGCAUAGUAGCACACGGUAUUGAUUAUUGAUGCUUACGUGAGAAGUCACUCAGUUAUACUCAAUUAUUGCUACAGUAAUUGCUGCAUCAUAUCUCUUAUAUUAUUGAUUCNNNNNNNNNNNNNNNNNNNNNNNNNNNNNNNNNNNNNNNNNNNNNNNNNNNNNNNNNNNNNNNNNNNNNNNNNNNNNNNNNNNNNNNNNNNNNNNNNNNNGAAUUAGUUACUAUUCAAUCCAUUCUUCUAUAAAUAGAAGCUCAUUCCUUCAUUAUUUCUUACGAAUUCACUGAAACUCUAGAGAGAGAAAUUAUAGAGAGAAAGAAGAAGAGUAUUCUGCUACUUCACUACUUCGAUAUCCAGUGUCUUUUACGGUAAGGGGUGUUAUUCUUUCUUAUUCAUGAAGAGAAGUUCUGUUAUUGCAUUCUUUAUUAUUCUGUUGGAAUAACCUGUAUACGCGGCAUACCCUAUACUUGGUAAAAUCCUUAUGUUAUUCCAUUCUUUAUUAUUCUGUUGGAAUAUCUUGUCUGUGCAUUUUACGCCUGACCUGGUUCCGUCUUUAUUAUUCUGUUGGAAUAACCUGUAUACGCGGACUCCCAUAUACUUGGGUGAAAUCCUUAUGUUAUCCAUUCUUUAUUAUUCUGUUGGAAUAUCCUGUCUGUGCGUUUUACGCCGGACCUGGUUCCGUCUUUAUUAUUCUGUUGGAAAAACCUGUAUACGCGAACUCCCCUAUACUUGGUGAAAUCCUUAUGUUAUUCCAUUCUUUAUUAUUCUGUUGGAAUAUCCUGUCUGUGCGUUUUACGCCGGACCUGGUUCCGUAUUUAUUAUUCUGUUGGAAUAACCUGCCUGUGCUAUCUAUCACAUGCUUGGUGAUUUCUUUUGUUAUUCCAUUCCUUAUUAUACUCAGUUGGUUAAAGUUUUAACUUCUAUACUCCAUGAAAUUAGUGGAAUAUCAUUGAUAUUUGCGCUUCAUCCAGUAUCUUUUCAUGGAAAUAUUCUUCUGAGCAUUCUUGAAUUUUACUCUACAAAGAAGUAUCAUGUUGACAAUUUGGANNNNNNNNNNNNNNNNNNNNNNNNNNNNNNNNNNNNNNNNNNNNNNNNNNNNNNNNNNNNNNNNNNNNNNNNNNNNNNNNNNNNNNNNNNNNNNNNNNNNNNNNNNNNNNNNNNNNNNNNNNNNNNNNNNNNNNNNNNNNNNNNNNNNNNNNNNNNNNNNNNNNNNNNNNNNNNNNNNNNNNNNNNNNNNNNNNNNNNNNNNNNNNNNNNNNNNNNNNNNNNNNNNNNNNNNNNNNNNNNNNNNNNNNNNNNNNNNNNNNNNNNNNNNNNNNNNNNNNNNNNNNNNNNNNNNNNNNNNNNNNNNNNNNNNNNNNNNNNNNNNNNNNNNNNNNNNNNNNNNNNNNNNNNNNNNNNNNNNNNNNNNNNNNNNNNNNNNNNNNNNNNNNNNNNNNNNNNNNNNNNNNNNNNNNNNNNNNNNNNNNNNNNNNNNNNNNNNNNNNNNNNNNNNNNNNNNNNNNNNNNNNNNNNNNNNNNNNNNNNNNNNNNNNNNNNNNNNNNNNNNNNNNNNNNNNNNNNNNNNNNNNNNNNNNNNNNNNNNNNNNNNNNNNNNNNNNNNNNNNNNNNNNNNNNNNNNNNNNNNNNNNNNNNNNNNNNNNNNNNNNNNNNNNNNNNNGAUGGAAUGUUCCGAGGCUUCAUGCAAUUCAUGCAACAUCAGGCGAGAGCGGCUCCUGUCCAAAAUGCAGGUGGAAACACUGGCAACUCUCGGACGGUCACCGCCAAACAGUUCAAGAAGCUGGGACCACCAGAGUUUUUUGGAGAGCCAAAACCACUUAAGGCGGAGACAUGGAUAAAACAGAUCAACGAGAUAUUUGAUGUCUUGGGUUGCUCCGAGGAGCAAAAGGUUCCCUUUGCCACCUUCAUGUUACGGGCAGAGGCAGAUUACUGGUGGGAAUCUGUAAAGAGUACUCAACCUGCCGCACUGAAGAUGUCUUGGGAGAAGUUUCAAGAACUGUUCAAUGACAAGUACUUUCCUGAAAGUAUUCGUCGCAUGAAAGAGGUAGAGUUCAUCAAGCUGGAGCAAAGCAACAUGACCGUGUCACAGUACGAAGCCAAGUUUGCCGAGUUGUCCCGGUUUGCGUCCCAUUUGGUUGAUAAUGAGGAGAGAAUGACGCGAAUGUUUCUAAGAGGUUUGAAACCUGAGAUACGUCAAUAUCUUAUCUCUCAUAAACUGUGUUUGUAUUUAGAUGUUGUUAAUAGGGCUCAGUUAUUGGAACGCGAUAAUGAGUCAACCCAACCAAAAGAGAGCAGCCGAAAAAAUCUGAAGGGGAGCCUGUGUUUGCAAAAGCUGAGGGGGAGCCAGAAGAAGAAGAAGAGAAGCAUACAUCUCAGGGUGAGCAGGUGCAAGGAGAUCAAACAGAUGAAUAGCUGAUCAACAUACAUCCUGGUAGCAUACAUGGAGCCAAAGAGGUACAUCUCUAACUAGCAAGGUAUGUUCUGGAUCCAGGAUGUAAAAUGUCAGUGUAUUAAAUUUUACAUCAUUAUAAAUGACAUUCAUAAUUAUCUAUCUUAGAAAUACAGCUGCUCACUGUAUAUAAGAUUCAUUUAUAACAUGCAUAUGCACUUAUUGUUUUUGUCAUAUAAUCAAAUAGAGGGAGAUUGUCAGGAAUAAAUAUGUGAAUGAUAUUCCUAUUUAUAUAUGAUUUGAUUAUGAUAUAUAUAUGAAUGAAUAUGCAAGUAUGCUUGCAUUAAGAAAAGUUGUAAAGUCCUUUGAUAGAUAAUAGAAACAUAUGUACAAGAACUUAGGAUGAAUUGAUCAAAUAUGUUAGGUUGAUCCUACAUAAGCAAAACAACUUUGUAAAGUUCUUAAAACGAAAUAAUGUACAAGGACUAUAAAUAUAGAAAGAUCAAGCAUGUUAGGUUGAUCCUAUGAUGUAAUAGAUAGGCUUGUCUGAUCGUCGAGCACUGCACCAAAAAUUGUAAUCUGCCAGGAGAGUCAAGGAUAACUCUAGAGCUAUCGAGGCAGAAUCGUAGUCUACAAGAUUGUAGAUCUCGGAGUUCGUAGACGGCCUGGAGAGACGAGGAAGGAUCGUAGUGUGUUGAGUAACACUUCCUCGGAGCCGUAGUCUGCUGAGGAAGUCAUGUUUAGAAUCGUAGAGACAGCCUACCUACGAGCCGACCGAGCAUCUGCUGAAGCCAAGUUAAGAAUCAUAGACUACACUCUAAGUCGUAGAGUCUACUGAUUUCAAAGCCAAGUCAAGAAUCGUAGACUACACUCAGAGCCGUAGAGUCUACUGAUCGUAUCAAAGGCAGAGAUCGUAGUCAAGCAAGAUCAGAUGAAAACAACAAGCACAACGAUAGAAAUCGUAGAGUGUCAAGAUAUGAUCUCAGAGUCGUAGUGUCUACACGACCGAAGCUGAAUUGUAGAGUGCAGAACUAAGACCUCAACAGAUGUGCUCACAAAGCCAAGGCAGAAUCGUAGAGCAAACACGAUUCUCAAUAAUUGAGCACUCCCAGAAUAUCCAAAGGAACCAAGCCUCUGGUUGGUACUGUAAAGAUACAUCCCACCUAAAGGAAACCAGAGAGCACUCAACGAAUGGAAUGUAAACUAACAGUAGAUCUAAGCACCAACUCAAUCAACAUUCAAGAUUGAGUUGUGAAGCCAUUCAAGAUAAAGACUUCCACAAGUUGAUCUAAAGAAGACUUCAGUAACUGACUAAGGAAAGUCAGCAAAUGCAGUUGCUGUAAAAUAAAUAGAAAACAACGAUCUUGGAAGCACCAGGAUCGUAGUGUUUGCCAAACAAAGAAAGAACUGAUGGAGUGUACACAGAGAUACUGGUUAGCCUCUGAAGAACAAGGCUAAAGUGAUUAAACAUUGGGUCAGUCCAUUGAUGAUAAGUGAACGAGAGAUCACAAGGAGAAAGCGAGCUGGACAUGCCACAAAUCUGAAAUGUCUUGAUAUUCAAAAGGGACCAAAGCAAGGAGUCAAACCACCAGUAUCUGAGAAUAGUCGAAGAAACCAGAAGUGUUGAAGCACUGCAAAAUAGAAGGAAUAGGUGUUCUACACUAAAGACCUAAAGAACACCCUUCAAAGAUCAUAGUGUUGUCUCUACGUGUCAUAUGAGCAACAGUCAACAAGACACAACAAUCAAGUCCAAGAAAUGCAUGCAUCAAAAUUGUAGAGUUCGGUCAUCCGAAGAUUGAAGCAUUGGAAAUGGUUCAAUUUGAAGGUUUGUAUUUGGACAAGAGCUUAUUGAGAGCAUUGAUGCAAAAGGACAACCUCUGAUUGAGAAAUUAGAAGGAGGAAAUAAAUUCAUCGACCUGCCCGAGACAUCAGAGUAACAUCUCUGACGUGGUAGGUGAAACAGUAGACUGCAGUGUCAGAAAGUUAGAAAAAGUUGAUAUGUCAUAUCUGCAGUCUACACCAAAUAACUCGAGAUCUGUGAAGCAUUUCAAAGAGCAUUCAACGGCUACUUCUCAACAGAAAGAUUGGGAAGGAAUAUAAAUAAGCCAGAGCUUCAACGAUCAAGGGUAAGCUGAAGAUUGGAAUGUUGUAGAAUUGUUGAGUUGGUAGAAUGCUAUUGUUGACUUUACGAGUUCCACGAAAAGAUUAACAGAUCAAGUCUUAGUGACAGUGAGACUACAUAGGUGGAAGUGAAGCAGCUUUGUAGAAGGACUUAAACAGACUAAAGCUUCACUCAACAAAGAUGAGAAUGCCACUGAAAAUGGCAGCUAAGCUGAGAGCCGAGAAGGACAAAAAGAUAGCAUUCAGAAGAGUGACAGAGCACAAAGAAGAUCCAGAGAGUCACUCUACCAAUCACCAUGAACCUAAAGCUGAAACUGAACAAGUGCAGAACCAUGUCUGCAAAACAUUAAAGAAGGGUUCAGGGAUUGCUUGCCAGACGAAGUCUACCAAAAUUUCAGAGACUUAGCAAAUCCAGAUGGUGAUGAUGCACAACUGACAUCAGAUGAAGAUGAGCAAAAAGGAGUAAAGAUCAGCUGCACCAGAGAAGAUGUGAUCCAGACUCGAAGCAGAAUGCAAAGAGGACCACACCAAGCUGCUAAGUAUAAAAGAUGUUCAAGCUUAAUGACAUCUUAGCAGCUCAACACCACUAACAACAACUACAACAACAAGAAGCUAGGGCCUGAUGGGUCCUUGUCCGGAGGGACUAAACGAAGUUCCAAGCUUGCUGGGCUUGAAGAGUUCAUAGGGAACUAGAGAAGUUCCAAGGCUGCUGGCCUUGAAGAGUUCUUAGUGAACUGAAGUCCCAAGGCUUCUGGCCUUGAAGGAAUCUUAGUGAUUCAGGGUGCUGCCCUUCCUUAGUGGAAAUCAUGCUAGUUGAAAGCAGAAGAGUGGAUUAGGAGCUUGAGUCUCUGAACCACUUAAAACCUCUUAUGUCUUUUACUUUAUGUCAUUUACAUUAUGUACAUUAAAUUCUAUAAUUGCUAUGUAUGUUUUAACUGCUUACAACCGAACUAACUCUAAGAACAAUGUAUGUAUGAUUAUGAAUAUAUCAAUGAAAGAGAUCUUUUACUUAUUCCGCUGUACUUGAAAAGAUUUUUAUGUUUAUCAUAUUCUAAUUCAUUAGCUAUAUAAAAUAAAUGAGAAAAGUAUUUGAAAAGAAAAAGGAUAUAUUCAACCCCCCCUUCUAGAUCUAUAUUGUGCCUACUGGGAACUAACAGACUCUGCUCUAAACUAAAAAUUCCAAUUUCUUCACCCAACACCAAAUUAACCAAACCCAGAUGUUUAUAAGCUUUAUAAACUCAAAACCAAAUAUUUAUAAAGCAAUUCUAACAUCACAAACCACUUUAACAACCAAUUUUAAGGACUCAAUUUUCAAGUUUAUACCAAUUUUCAUUGUUUUAUCAUACACAACGAAAUCAGUCACCACUACUUCAAUUUUCAACCAUUUUGAUUUGUUCAAAGUAUAUUAUUUUUGUAUCACAUAGUUCUACCAUAAACAACCAUCAAUCUACAGUUUACAAUCUAAAUUCAUAGCCAAUUUUUAACUCUAAAACAACCACAAUACACAUAUUACAACCAAAACUCAAAUUCCUCUUCUUCAAAAUAUUUACACGAAUUUUGAUUACUUCAACAUCAUUUAUAAACUACAUAUAACAGAUUAUACACUAUCCAUAACAUUUAUAACAACUAUUCUAACCAAUCAUUAACCAAAUUUUCCCUUUAUCCCAAGAAAACUCAAGAACACAAAACAUGAUUUUUCAUAAAUUUCAACCUCUGAAAACUGUUUCUAAAUGAUAACCAAUGGAUUACAGUAACUAAUUAACACAUUUAUAACAACUAUUCUAACCAAUCAUUAACCAAAUUUUCCCUUUAUCCCAAGAAAACUCAAGAACACAAAACAUGAUUUUUCAUAAAUUUCAACCUCUGAAAACUGUUUCUAAAUGAUAACCAAUGGAUUACAAUAACUAAUUAACAUAUAUCCUCCAAAUUCUCACAAAUUAGCCAUAGAAACUCUAGAAACAUACAACUGAAAAUAUGAAUUUAGAUUAUACCUUGAAUUCCUUGUUAGCAAGAUGAUAGAAUAGCUUUGACAAAACCUUCUUCCUCCCCUAACCCUUAUCAAUUUACAAAGAUUACUCUCAAUUUCCUCUCUUGCUCUCUCUCAAUUUUUCUCUAACACUCUUUGUUUUCUUCCUCUCUAUACUCUUUGUUCUUAGCCUUUAGGAAAAACACGUAACCCACUAACAAUGAUAUAACAUCGUGCGCCAUCUAAAGUCAUCAGGUAAAAGAAACCAAUAGGUUCAGCUGUUACAAAGACCAAGAGACACAAGGCCAUGUUUGGCUAGUCUCAAAUAUCCCACUUUAGUUUAUUUUUAUAUUUCUUAUAUUAUAUAGUUCUUAUGCCACACCCAUAAUACAAGUAAUUUAAUUAAAUUUAUAAUUUAAAUUAACAUUUGCCUUAUAAUUAUAAUUUCCAUUAUAAAUUAUAAUUUUAUUCCACAACUAAUAAAUCUCUAAUUUAAUUAUUAAAUUAAAUUAGAAUAAAAUUAUAAUUAUUUAAUAAUUCAUUUAAUUAUCUCAUUAAAUUAAAUCUUUAAAUCAUAAAAUUACCAUUCAUUAAUUUAAUUAUUAUAACACAUUUUAACUAACUUAUUACACCACAAUUUCAUCAAUUAUUUAUUUAUCUCAAUAAAUAAAUCAAUUAAAAUAUUUAAUUAAUUCAAUAAAUAUUUUUAAAUUACAUAAAAUUUCUCGUUCGUUACAUCAUUCCCUCCUUAAAAGGAUUCUUUCCCCAGAAUCACCACUCAAUAAAUUCAUUCAUUACAUUCUUCCCUCCUUAACAAGAUUCUGUCCCCAGAAUCGCUAUACAAAAUUAAGCAAACAACUGAGAAUAAUUUUUCAUCAUAACAUCUUCAAGUUCCUACAUAGCUUCUUCAGCAUUGUGUUUCCUCCAAAUUACCUUAACAGAAGGUAUCACUUUAUUCCUUAGUACUUGUUCUUUUCUGUCAACAAUUUGAACAGGGACUUCUUCAUAAGACAAAUAUUUUUCAAACUGUAACAGUUCGUUUUCUAUAACAUGCUUAUAAUUAGGCUUAUAUGGUCUUAAUACCGAAAUAUAGAAAAUAUUAUGAAUAUGUUCUAAUUCUGGAGGUAGAGCUACCUCAUACUCCACUUUACCAACUCGUCGUAGCACUUCAAAAGGUCCUAUAAACUUAGGGCUUAGUUUUCCCUUUUUACCAAACCGGAUUUUCCCUUUCUAGGGAGACACUUUCAAGAAAACAAAACUACCGACAUCGAAUUCUCGAUUUUGUCGAUGUUGAUCAGCAUAUCUCUUCUGCCUAUCCUGUGCAGCUAUAAAUCUUGCCCGAAUCACCUUGCUGAUUUCGACAGUUUUUUGCACCAAUUCUGGACCUAAUAGUUGACGUUCUCCAACUUCGUCCCAGCAUAACGGAGUUCUGCAUUUCCUGCUAUAUAACGCUUUGUAAGGCGGCAUGCCAAUACUCGCAUGAUAAUUAUUAUUAUAGGCAAAUUCAACCAACGGUAGAUGGUCAUCCCAAUUCCCUUUAAAAUCCAUAAUACAUGCUCUGAGCAUAUCCUUCAAUGUCUAGAUUGUCCUCUCACUUUGUCCGUCGGUUUGAGGAUGAUACACUGUGCUCAUUCUCAAUUGCGUCCCCAAGAAUUCCUGUAGUCGUUUCUAGAAAUUUUAUGUGAAACGUGGAUCUUUAUCCGAUACAAUGGACACCGGGACACCGUGUCUUGAUACAAUUUCCUUCACGUACAAUUUUGCCAAUCGAUCUAGGUUAAAUCUAAUCUUGAUUGGGAAAAAGUGUGCCGACUUCGUCAAUUGAUCGACAAUCACCCAGAUUGCAUUGUAACCUUGUUAAGUCAUUGGAAGACCCACCACAAAAUCCAUUGUGAUAUGCUCCCAUUUCCAUUCCAAUAUCUCUAACGGUUGCAAAAAUCCGCUUGGCCUUGGAUGUUUAGCUUUAACUUUCUGACACGUUAAGAAUUUUGCCACACAUUCAGCAACAUCCUUUUUCAUAUUCAACCACCAGAAAUGAUGUCUGAGAUCCUGGUACAUUUUUCGUACUUACAGGGUGAAUCGAAUAUCGUGAGUUAUGAGCCUCGCUUAAAAUUUCCUCCUUAAUGCCUGGUACGGUCGGAACCCAAAUUCUCCCUUCAAAUCGAAGUAACCCUUCUGAAUUAACUUUAAACUUAUUUUCUUCACUUUUAGAAACUUUCCUUCUUAUCUUUUCACAGUUUUCAUCUUGAAGCUAUGAAUUCUUCACCCUAUUUACCAAAAUUGAACUGCUCCCCACCUGGAACAAAUUUUCAUCUGAUUCUGUCAGAUAUUUAAUUUCUAACUCCAUCUUUUCCAUUUCUACUGCUAGCUUCUCCUGAGCAGUUAACAUCAUUAAUUUCUCCCUAUCCUUUCUACUUAAGGCAUCGGCGAUAACAUUCGCCUUUCCGGGAUGAUAGAGAAUCUUGUAGUCAUAAUCUUUAAUCAACUCCAACCAUUUUCUCUAUUGCAUAUUCAAAUAUUUUUGUGUAAAGAUAUACUUCAGACUUUUAUGGUCUGUAUAUAUCUCACACCUCUCUCCAUACAGAUAAUGCCUCCAAAUCUUCAGAUCAAACACUACUGCAGCCAACUCCAAGUCAUGAGUCGGAUAUCCUUUCUCAUAAUCCUUCAAUUAACGCGACGCAUACGCAAUAACUCUGUCGUUCUAUAUAAGCACACAUCAUAGUCCUUUAUGCAAUGCGUCACUGAAUACCACAAAAUUCCUUGUAUCAUCAGGCAAUGACAACACAAGUGCUGAGCUCAAUCUUUUCUUUAAUUCUUGAAAACUCUCCUCAAACUUCUCUGUCCAAAUAAACUAAACUGUCUUCGUAGUCAAAUUCGUCAACGGAGUGCGAUCUUAGAAAAGUCUUGAAUGAAAUGCCUAUAGUAACCUGCCAAUCCCAAGAAAAUUCUUAUUUUUGACAGUGUCUUUGACUGAUCCCAGUUUAUUACAGCUUCAACUUUCGAUGGAUCUAUUGAUAUUCCGUCCUUAUCAAUAACGUGCCCAAGAAACUGCACACGUUCUAGCCAAAACUCACAUUUCAAGAAUUUAGCGUACAACUUCUCUCUCCUCAUUGUCUCCAACGUCACCCUUAAGUGUUCAACAUGUUCCUCCUUGGUCUUAGAAUACACCAAUAUAUCAUCAAUAAACACCACUACAAAUUUAUCUAAGAAUAGUUUAAACACCUUUUUCAUCAAAUCCAUGAACGCUGCAGGUGCAUUGGUUAAACCAAAUGACAUAACCAGAAACUCGUAAUGACCAUACCGAGUUCUAAAUGCCAUUUUUGGUACAUCCUCUAGCCUCACCUUCAGCUGAUGAUAACCACUCCUCAAGUCUAUCUUUGAGAAAUAUCUCGCUCCCUUCAGUUGAUCGAAUAAGUCAUCGAUUCUCGGUAAUGGAUACUUAUUUUUAAUCGUGACCUUAUUCAAUUUCUUGUAAUCAAUGCAGAUCCGCAUCGAUCCAUCUUUCUUUUUAACAAACAAUACUGGCACUCCCCACGGCUGGAUAUACUUCUUAUUUAAUAAUUCUUGCAACUGUACCAUCAACUCCUUCAUCUCCACUGGGGCCAUUCUAUAUGGGACUUUAGAUAUCGGGGUCGUUCAUGGUGUUAAAUCAAUCACGAACUCAAUCUCUCUAUUCGACGGAAAUCCAGGAAAAUCAUCUGGAAAUACGUCUGCAAAAUCCCUAAUAACUGGUAUCUCUUCUAACUUUGCAUUCUUCUUCUGCGUAUCGACUAUGUAGGCUAAGUAUCCUACACAUCUCUGUCUCAGUAACUUUUUGGCUUUCAUCAUUGUCAGACAACUUGCUUAUUGAGGUGACUUGCUACCAUAAAACAUCACCUUUGACGGAGUCAUACGGUUAACACAUUUCUUUUGGUAAUUAAUUACUGCCCCGUAAUUGAAUAACCAAUCCAUUCCCUGAAUAACAUUAAAUUCCCUAAGUUUAAUUGGUAUUAAAUCUACCAUCAUCUCGUGAUCCUUUAUAAAUACUCUAUAAUUCUUGUAUAUAAAUCGAACAGGAAUCACUUCCCUAUUCGCGAUUUCUAUGCUUAAAAGGAAAUCUAAUUCUUCCUGAGGCAAAUCUAAAUUCUGAGCAAAAUCAUCGGAUAUAAAUGAACAAGUAGCACCCGAAUCAAAUAGCACAUAAGCAUUAAUACUAUUAAUCGGAAUGAUACCUGACACCACAUCCUUUGACUGCACAACAUCUUUCACGGUCAUAUUGAAAGUUUUGGCAGUAGGUUGACUUGAUUGCACUGGCCCAGUGAUAGUCAACGUACCACCGCUGUUGCUUCCCUUGCCUCCACAUGCACCUCCCGCUGUCUUCCUAGGGUAAUCACGAGCCAUAUGAUCCUUCGACCCACAAGUGAAACAUGCUCCUUUCUUCAGACUAAAAUAAUUUGUCGCAAUGUGACCCUCCUGGCCACAAUUGAAACACACUCGCUUACCCUUCAAACACACACAAGUGUGGUUUUUCCCACAAGUAGUACAAACCUCAAACUUUUUCUUUUGCUGACUUCCUUGCUGUCCUCCCGCAUUCAAAUUUUCAUUCCACUUCCUCUUUUGGUUGUUACUUCCACUAUUGCUUCCACCAACCUUGUUUUCAUUCUCAUUCUCAUUCCUCCUCCUUUUUUUUCUUGAUUAUACUUAGUUAAGGCAUCGCUUCCACCUUCCGCGAUAAUUGCCUUUUCCAAUACUGAUGCAAACGUGUUUAACUGGAACAUUGAAGCCUUGCUAUACAGUCAGGGCUUCAACCCUUGUUUGAACCUUCUCGCCUUACUCUCAUCGAUAUUGACUUGGUACGGAGCAAACCUCGCCAGCUUAUUAAACUUUGUAGCAUACUCUGGCACAUACAUGGUUCCUUGCUUUAGUUCUAAGAAUUGAACUUCCAUUUGAUUACGGGAACUCAUCAGGAAGUACAUCUCGAAAAACAUCUCUUUAAACCUAUCCCACGCUACUAUUCCCUGUCCCCCACGAACCUUAUUCACCUUCCACCAAUAGCUAGCUUCAGACUUCAACAUAAACGUUGCGAAUAUGGUUUUCUGGUCCUCAUUAACUCGGGCAACGUCGAACACGUUCUCCAUUUCUAUGAUCCAAGUUUGGGCUUCAACUGGAUUCAUAGAACCUUGAAACUCCGGCGGUCCAACCGCUUUGAAGUACUUGAAAGUCGUAACUUGGGCUUGCGACUGAUUAUCAAGUGCUCCUGUUAACAAAGUCACCAACUGAUGAAUCGGGUUAGCGUUGGCCUCGUUAUUGUUGUUUUUAGUAUACCCCUCAGGAGGUGGUUGUUGGCGUGGUUGUCUUCUUCUAGGAGGCAUUUUCUGUUUAAAAUAUACGCUUAUUAGAUCACUACUCAAUUCCUUGAAUAUUUAAAGUUUAACUUAAACAUUCUAAGAUUAAAGCUUUAAUUUAACAAAUAUCAUUUCAAUAAAUUUUGAUAUUUUAUUCAUUCAUAGUUUUCAAAACAUAGUAAGGAUAACAUCUCUGCUAUCAACAUCAACUUUCCUGAACUUGACAAGUUUCAGGAUUACAUACUCAUCUUACCCUUUUAUUUAUCUCAAAAUAAGGGAUUUACAAUUUAUUUAAUCACAUAUUUAGUCACACAACUUAUUACUCUUCAUAUCUUGGCAUAUUGAGACGUCGAGAGGCUUCUCUACGCUCUUUUUCCAUAAUACAAUACAUCAUCCUACGAUCCAUCAUGUACCAUGGAAAGUCUUCGAAUUGAGCUGGGUAAUAAAAGACUCGGUCCUGGGCUCUAUUAAUCGCAGAAUGAAAGGCAUAAUCCAUUUUGGCCUUCUCCGUCUAAACCUUGGCUUCAGCACGAUCCAUAUGCUGAGUAGCCUUCAUCCAGGCGUCUUCUGCUCUCAUACGCUUAACUGACUCCUCCUUCAAGUCAUCUUUUAGCUUUUCCACAUCAGUCUUCAUCUUCUCAUUCUCAGCCAAUAGCUUCUCUUGAUGUCCCUCUGUGUGAACUAGGUUCCAUUCCGUGUUCCCAAGUCGUGAGUCGAGUUUUUGAAUCUCCACAUCCUUCUACUCUAUAGUAGCCUAACACAUGUCAGCCAACUCCUUCAACUCCUCAAUCUUAUCUUGUAACUUUAUAUUUCGGUCAUAUAGCUCAUCAUACAUCUCAACUGAUAUGGAGUUUGGUGGAAACUCCACAGGAUCCUCUUCCUCAUCCUCCACCUUUAUCUCCUCAGAGCCCUCCUCCUCAGGAUCAGACACAGGCUCAUUCUCCUGUCCUUCCUCAGCGACCAACAAAGAAGAAUCCCUGUGGAUCAACUGCUCCCGAACCACAUGGACAUCUCGGGGCUCCUCAUCUCUAGGCACCUGAGGUAUCUCUUCCCUAGUUUGACUGGAUCCUUCAACAUUAGACAUCCUGACAACAAAAUACUUUUAAGUUUUAUUUAUUAUGUGACACUCUUCGAUACUCGCGAGCACAUAAGUUGUUAACACAUAGCUCAUAAAGUCUUUUAUUGUUUAUCUUUAAUGAAUUUCCUCAAUUCAUUCCUUAGAACUCGAUAAGAGUUUAUCACCACUAUGUUUUCUGUCUCCUUAAAGGUUACUUCCUAAGGUUUCCCCCACCUAAGGUUCAUAACCUAAAGCUUUGAUACCAACCUGUGACACCCCCAAAUCCGGGUACUUCAUUCCCACAGGAUUUGGUGCUCACUAUCUAAAAUAAUUACUUCUAACUACCCAUAAUCAAGGAUAAAGACAUAAAUUAAACAACUUAAAUAAUAAUCCUCCCCAUUAAAGGGUUACAUCAAACUUAAAAUAAAUCUUAGGUAAUCUAACCUUAAACUAUUACAUAAGUUUGCGGAAUACAUCACAAAAUAAAAUAAGUCUCAUAACAGAAUUUUAUUAAAUAAAAUCAAACGAGACUUCAUCCCUUGGACAUCUUGCCCUUGCCUUUGCUAGAAGACGGUUCGUCAACUUUCUUAACUUUAGCUGCAGUGUUAAAUGCAAAAGUGAGCAAACAAUUGCUCACUAAUAUAAUGAUGACAAUAACAAUAACAUAAGAGUAAGCAAUGAAUACUGAAUAAUUAAGAACUCGUUCUUUGAAUCAAGAUUAGUAAACAAGUUCGAGAUUUAUAUCUGAGGGUCUUAAGACCAUGAACUAUGUCCCAAGGUUAUUAAGUAUUUCUAUUUCAACCUUUAACAGUCGUUAGACUAUAUAGACCUUUUCUUUCGUACUUAGGGGGAUCAACCCUUCAUACCAUGUAUUGUGCACAAACAUCUAAACGCUAACGCGUACAUAUAAUCCCCUAUAUUAGGGUUGUUCAUCUCAGUUUGACUUUAGAAUUUUCGCACUAAAAAAAAUUAGCUUGGAAUAGCUUAACAGUGAUUUUAGAAUUUUAGAACACUUAUCGAUUAUGGAUUAGUCCAAUAAAUAAAGAUUUAUUAGCUAUUCGAAGGUUCAACAUGAUAAUAAAAGAUUGAACAAUGAUACUUAAGUCAAAGAUUGAAUAUCAACAAUAUAAAAUUGAAUAGACAUGGUAUAUACAAAGUAUUACAUCCAAAAGAGUUAGAAAACUCAUUUGGGACAAUGAACUUGAACAAUUUAUGCUUUGAAGAGCAAGAAAAAAAAGUUAAGAACUUGCUCAAUAAAAGAUUCAAGUUUUAGAAAUUUGCAUAACGAUAUCAAGUUAGGAAUAUGAAACUUGCUCAAGGUAAAAGAAUUAGAAUACAAGAGCUUGUAGAAUGAAAAAUUGAGGUCAGGGAACUUGCCUCGUGCGUAAGCUACUCAAGUAUAAUAAAUGUUCGCCAAAUACCCUACAUAUACCAUUAGGAUCACAAUACCAAUUAGUUAUAUUAACAUUAACUUCAUUGGUUUACUUCUCAUUUUAGUCAAGUCUAUAAUCUUUAACUUAAGAUCUGAUUAUCCUAAUCAUUCACGUACCAUAACUUGAACUCCCAAUUAUAUUAUAGUAUACGACAUGAUGAUUGAAAAACAACUCCAAUUCUCAUGACAUCACAUUAUGGUCUUUCACAACUUAUUAAUUCAUAACCUAUAGUUUCAACUUUGUGAUUACAAUAUGUUAUUAUGUCUUAUAACAUGUUUUAGGUUUCUCUACAAUCAUUAAAAUAAGUUAAGUUAACAUUUUCUCAGCUAUACUGUUAAUAGUUCAUUACUGGGUUUACUAGACCACUGGCGCGGCCGCGCCCUGUCUACCCUUGAAUCCAGCGUGCCCGCGCUCGACUCCAGAUUCAGUUUUCCAAAACACCAAUUCAGACUCUACUCUAAACCAAAAUUCCAAUUUCUUCACCCAACACCAAAUUAACCAAACCCAGAUGUUUAUAAGCUUUAUAAACUCAAAACCAUAUAUUUAUAAAGCAAUUCUAAAAUCACAAACCACUUUAACAACCAAUUUUAAGGACUCAAUUUUCAAGUUCAUACCAAUUUUCAUUGUUUUAUCAUACACAACGAAAUCAGUCACCACUACUUCGAUUUUCAACCAUUUUGAUUUGUUCAAAUUACAUUAUUUUUGUAUCACAUAGUUCUACCAUAAACAACCAUGAAUCUACAAUUUACAGCCUAAUUUUAUACUAAUUUUUAACUCUAAAACAACCAUAAUACACAUAUUACAACCAAAACUCAAAUUCCUCUUCUUCAACAUAUUUACACGAAUUUUGAUCACUUCAACAUCAUUUAUAAACUACAUAUAACAGAUUAUACACUAUCCAUAACAUUCAUAACAACUAUUUUAACCAAUCAUUAACCAAACUUUCCCUUUAUCCUAAGAAAACUCAAGAACACAAAACAUGAUUUUUCAUAAAUUUCAACCUCUGAAAAUUGUUUGUAAAUGAUAACCAAGGAUUACAAUAACUAAUUAACACAUAUCCUCCAAAUUCUCACAAAUUAGCCAUAGAAACUCUAGAAACAUACAACUGAAAAUAUGAAUUUAGAUUAUACAUUGAAUUCCUUGUUAACAAGAUGAUAGAAUAGCUUUGAAAAAACCUUCUUCCUCCCCUAACCCUUAUCAAUAUAUAGAGAAUACUCUCAAUUUCCUCUCUUGCUCUCUCUCAAUUACUCUCUAAACUUUAUUUUCUUCCUCUCUAUACUCUCUGUUCCUAGCCUUUAGGAAAAACACGUAACCCACUAACACUGAUAUAACAUCGUGCGCCAUCUAAAGUCACCAGGUAAAAGAAACCAAUAGGUUCAGCUGUUACAAAGACCAAGAGACACAAAACUAUGUUUGGCUAGUCUCAAAUAUCCCACUUUAGUUUAUUUUUAUAUUUCUUAUAUUAUAUAGUUCUUAUGUCACACCCAUAAUACAAGUAAUUUAAUUAAAUUUAUAAUUUAAAUUAACAUUUGCCUUAUAAUUAUAAUUUCCAUUAUAAAUUAUAAUUUUAUUCCAUAACUAAUAAAUCUCUAAUUUAAUUAUUAAAUUAAAUUAGAACAAAAUUAUAAUUAUUUAAUAAUUCAUUUAAUUUAAUUAUCUCAUUAAAUUAAAUCUUCAAAUCAUAAAAUUACCAUUCAUUAAUUUAAUUAUUAUAACAAAUUUUAACUAACUUAUUACACCAUAAUUUCAUCAAUUAUUUAUUUAUCUCAAUAAAUAAAUCAAUUAAAAUAUUUAUUUAAUUCAAUAAAUAUUUUUAAAUUACACAAAAAUUCUCAUUCGUUACAGCUGCUACUGCUGCUGCGACCGCUUCAUGCUGCUGUCAAUUUUUGUUUUUAUCUCUUCCUUUAUCCGUCUAAAUGGAUUAUAGUUUUGUUAUAUAGUCCACACACUUGCUUAUUUGAAAUUUGGACUUGAUGGGUAAGCUUUUAAAUUACACCACAAAGUCAAAAAUGGCUCAUCCAAAACUGCCAUAGCAGUUGUUUGCUAUAAUCUGCUGCUGCUCUAAAACAGUAGCCCUUUUGCCUCUUGCUUUAGGAAAUUUGUAUUCUUCCUAUGUCUUUUAUUUUCUAUAACCUCAUUAGUUGGUUAUAUAUGUUUUAUAUUCUUACUUUUGUAGAGAUAUUAACUCAAGUUUUUAUGGGCAUCUCAUCAUAUUACAAAACAACUUAUUAAGGUUGUUAACACUGCUCUAUAUGCUUACUACUGCUGCCGAGGCAGCAGCAGCCCUGCACCAAGCCCAACUUUCCCUUUUCUUUCCUUAGAAACUUUUGAUGCACUAAUUUGCUUAGGCCUAAUUUGUUUUUGGGGUAAUAAAGUUACCAUAUUAGUCUAUCUUAAAAACAUAUUAGCCUUGAACUUCAAGUUCAUUUUACUGUCCAAAACAGUUUGUCAAAAUGGCUUGACAUAAUAUGAUUCAACUUUUCCAUUUGGCCUAAUAUUGUAGUUUGUCUAAUCCUAAUAAUUUUAAACUUACUAAUUACCCUCACAUGUGUUGUCUCAACCAAACCCAAACUACAAUUCUUUCUAGAAUCCAUUUUCAAUCAAGACAGUCCACUUGGGACUUUUAAUAAACAUGUGGUGUGCACAGUUUUAAUUCCCUCUUUUCAUAGCCGUUUACUUGUGUUAUAAACCGAUUUUUAUCCUCCUUAUUACUCCUCAGCCCAGCCUAGCCUCUCUCCUUGUGCCUAAAUUCAGUUCAUAACAGUCAAAUAUACCAUCGAAUAUAUGUAUAUUAAAGUAAUUGACAACUACUUAGCUUAUAAAUUAGUUAGUUCACUAAUUAUCUUACCUUCAUCUUUCAACAUAAUCUCAGCCACUACAAUAGGAAUACUAUCAUAGUCAAUUUUGGGUAACAGUUUUAGGCAUAGCAAUUCAUUAAACCAUUAUAUGCAUAAGUAACUAAUCAUUACAACCUAGUUAGUUUACUUCUAUAACAAAUUCCAACCCCUUUGAAAACAAACAUAUUAAGCAAUAUCUCAGUUUCCUUCUUGAUGAUUAUUAUAGCUAUAAUUAGUUAUUAACAUUUCAGUUAACCUCUUUUAUCCCGACUUAGAUAUUCUAAGCAUGACCUUAGUAUAACAAGAUAUAAUCAUCCUAUGCUAAAGGCAAAACUGACCUUUAAGCACCUUUGCAUUCAUAGAAUUACAAUGUAAAAAAUAUGGGCAUAAGAUUAUACUUGACUGCACUCCUUUUUUAACACAGUUGACACCAACAGUCCAUUCACAAACAUUUUAUCAAGCAGUUGGGGUGCAGUCUCUAUUUUCCCAUGUUGAUCAUAAAUAUAGGCAUGCCUGCUACUCCUAGUGGUAUCAUAUAUUAUAGAUAACACCAUAUGCUGUUGGGUGUGGAUCCUCACCCAUGAGAUAGAAUCCAAGAUAGAAAAGAAUUAAUUUUCUUUGUGAACAAGUAAGUGCGUUUACUUGAUAUUAAUCCAAUUAGAAAUUGGGUUAGUGGAAGCAAUAUUGGAAUUGGAGAUUCCAUGAAAAAAAUCCAAGUUGAAAAAGGAUUUACUUGUUAGAUUGGUUGGUGACCAAGACAAGGAGAUGUGAACCCUAAUUUGAUUAGGAGAAUAAAUUGUUUCUAAUCCAUAAUAGGAAUGGAUUAGGAAGAGUACUAUAAAUAAGCCUAUGAGGGAGUCUUAUUUGAUAUAUAUGAGAGAAGCUUGGUAGCAAGAAGGUACCAAAAGAAUAAAUUGAGAGAAUUACAGUUUGUUGUUCGUGGAUAUCCGCCGCCAUCUCCGUUCAAUUGAAAGCUUGAAGACUUUAUUGUUUGAGGUAUUUUUGGGUGGUGAAGUUAAUUAGUUUCUCAACCUAAUUAAAGGUAAAUUUGUACUAUCUCAAUUUAUUGUGUAACCUCAAGUUUAGGAUUAUUGUAAGCCCAUUAUUAGUGAUAUAGUGGAGAUUCGGAGUUUGACCCGUGGUUUUUACCUCUUAGUUUUAGAGGGUUUUUCACGUAAAUUUGGUGUCUUUCUUGCGGAUGGUUAUUUGUUAUUUUUGUUCUCAUAAUUGGUUUUGUUGAUUUCAUAUUUAAUUGCACAAAGACGGAAAAGUAAUUCUUGGGAUAGAGAUUAUUUUUAGCAUACUUUUCCCAACAGUGCCACAACAAUACAACAACAACAUGAUAGCCAAAUUAAUCCUAUACAGUUAAGGGUGUAAACGAGUCGAACCGGAGCGAACAGAGAGCUACUCAAAUUCGACUCGAAAUGAUAAAUUCAUACUCGAAUUCAGCUCGAAUUCGAAUUAUAUUUGAAAAAUCCUACUCAGAUUCGACUCAACUCGAAUAUUUAUUACUCGAAUUCGAUCCGACUCGACUCGACUCGAAUAUUUAUUCAAACUACUCGCAAGCUUUAAAUUUAAGCUCGAAUUCGAGUCACCACAUAAUAACUAGUUUUAUAAUAAAUGUAAUUAUAAAUUGAAUUUGUUAUUUUACUUAAAAAUGAGAAAAUAUAUUUAUUAUUACAUUUUAUACAUAUAAAAUCACAAUUAAAAUUAAAAACAAUAAAUAAUAACUAAUUAUCCUAAUUUGAUUUAAAUUUGUAUAUAUUAUAAGAGAAUGUAUCGAACAUCUAAUCGAAUAUGUAUUAACCGAGUAUGUAUCGAAUCACAAUAAAAAAUUCGAGUAGUUUGAAUUUUAAACGAGUCGAGUAUAACUUUGCUCAGAUUCUACUCAUAUUUUUAUUCAAACUAUUUUUAAUGCUCAGAUUUGGAUCAUAUUAUUAACGAAUCCGAGUCUCGCUCGUAUUUUUUCGAGUCGAGCCCGAACUGUGUUGGCUCGUUAACAGCCUUAUAUACAGUUAACAUAUCAACUCAAAAGAAAAAUUUUAAUAUGACAGUCUUCAAUUCAAUUCUCAGCCAUCCGACCACUAACAGUCCAUCUUUGCUCAUUACCAAUGGAAUAGAAAAAGAAGGGAAGGAGUUAAAAUAGAAUUACCUUGCUAGCUUCUAAAGUUCAGGUAGUUUACUUUCCUCCCUCUCUAGCCGCAAAUUCUGCAACAAAGUAUAUACCACCCAAUUCCUUCUUGAAUGGCUGGGUGGAGUGAGGGUGAGGGGCUACUUUUAAUGGCAGGGCUAUCACCUCCUACUGGCAGUCCUAUUAGCCUCUAGUUGGCCUCUACUCAGCCACCCUACCAAGCUGUAAGCAAUCACUCCUAGUCUAGUUCACUUGGCCCCUAUGGGACCUGUCAGACCAUAGCUACUCUGUUACAUCUUAUCCUCUGCAAAUCUAUCCCACGUGCUUGCUGACUGCUAACUGAACUAACUUACUAACUAGGAACUAACUUAGAAUUCGUAUAACUUGCUAAUUGACUGAGUGCUCAAGCCAUCUCACUGCUUUCUUAAUUGGUUUAAAACAGUUCUCUUGCAUUACAUCAUUUGGUUUACAGGAUUGGGGCAAGGGGAAAAAGUGUGACAAUUUUUAAUUUGGGUUUAAACCAACCCUCCCUCUUUAACAAUGUAGCUGCCAAAUUGGG